rnacentral:rRNA from 1 species
GAUGAACGCUGGCGGCGUGCCUAAUACAUGCAAGUCGAGCGAACAGACGAGGAGCUUGCUCCUCUGACGUUAGCGGCGGACGGGUGAGUAACACGUGGAUAACCUACCUAUAAGACUGGGAUAACUUCGGGAAACCGGAGCUAAUACCGGAUAAUAUAUUGAACCGCAUGGUUCAAUAGUGAAAGACGGUUUUGCUGUCACUUAUAGAUGGAUCCGCGCCGCAUUAGCUAGUUGGUAAGGUAACGGCUUACCAAGGCAACGAUGCGUAGCCGACCUGAGAGGGGUGGCCCCCACCCGGAACCGGACACGCCCCCCACCCCCCCGGGGGGGGGCGGUAGGGGAACUUUGCCGAAAGGGGCGAAACCCUGCGGGAACCACCCCGGGUGAGGAGAAGGGUUUCUGGGCGCGAAAAUCUCUUUUAUUAGGAAAACAAAAGUGUGAAAGUAAAGUUCCCCCUGUGGCCGUUUCUUACCAGAAAGGCCCCGCUAACUUCCUG